UACGGAGGAUCCAGCGUUAUCCGGAAUUACUGGGCGUAAAGGAGUUGACGUAGGUGGCAUAGUAAGCGGUUAGUGAAAGCGUGAUGGCUCAACCAUACUCACAUUACCCGAACUGCUAAGCUAGAGGGCGAGAGAGGUUACUGGAAUUCUCAGUGUAGGAGUGAAAUCCGACAGAUAUUGGGAGGAACACCGAUGGCGUGAGAAGGGUACCUGGCUCGACCUGACACUAGGCCACGAAA
rnacentral:rRNA from 1 species